rnacentral:lncRNA from 1 species
GCAGAAGAAAGAGAAAAGGAGUCAGUGCUGCGAGGAGCUGCCUGUGAGAGCUCACAGAGAGAAGCUGGAGACUGUGUCCUUGGUUCUGUCAGUGCUGCUUGGAGAAACAGACCAACCCCACCUGUCUACACCCACCUUUCAGGGGUUGUAGAGAGUGAUAAGGUGACCUCUGAGUCGCCUUUUCUCCCCUAAUAUGAAGCCUAGACUUACCCACUAAAGCAGUGCAGAAUCUGAAGGAUAUAAAACUAAAACCUGAGGCAUCACUCCUGCAAGGCCUGAGUGCCACAACUGAGCUGAGCUGCGAACUCUGCACUGAGGAUAAACACAUUAAAGAUGCUCACUUACUGCAGCGCCAGCGGCUACAAAAGCCAGCUUGGAUUAAAUGCCAAAAAGCCCUUCAGCAAUGAUUAGUCUGUGGCUGCUCUGACUGCUGCUUCAGCUGUGAUGGGGAUCACCUCCCUCCGACCGCCCACCGCCCCUCGUCUGCUCUUCAGCAUUUUCUCACUCUGCUUGGCUGCUGUUGCUGCGGAGGAGUUGGACAAUGAUCUCUCCAACGUGUUUUUACGGCGCACACACAACGGGGCCCAGCCCUCACUGAGACCUCCAGGCUCUGAAGAGCACAAAUGCCACAGGUAAUUGCAUCCUUUUUGGGGAUUUGAGCCUCUCGAUGGAGAAAGUGUGAUGGCAGGCAAAGAAUGAUGUGCUGGGAGUUUUUCAUGAAUGGAAUGGGACUGCUGGGAGACAUUCCUUGAGUUUUAUUGCAGCAUCAGCCUCAUUGCAUGGUCGAGACAAUAGAAAGAGCCUGAGUCUGCAAAAACCAUUCAGAAGACCUGCAAGAUUGGUGACUUCAUUGCAAACUCUCUCUAGAGGAUAUUUUCUCUCUCCAUGGUUCUCCACACCUCCGAUUUUACCGUGAACGUCACUGAACGUCUCAAGGCUCUCCCCUAAAGUUAAUACUUAACGACAAAAUUGAAGGGUUCAAAACUGAUGCUUCAAAACCUCAGUUUCAUUUCAUUAAUGCUCCCUGCACCCCUUUUACUUCAAUUAUGAAUUUUGUCAUAUAUCUUAAGUUUAUUAAUUAUCAUAUUUUGGGGUCUUGGCAGGCAGUUUAAAAAUAAUCCCAUAGCCUUUGGAGCUUUGUUUUCAGAGGAUUCAUUCAGUGUGCUCCAAGGCUGUUGUGUAACUACCGUGCUUGUUUGUCUGACAACAAAAACAAGUUUAAAUCAGAUAUUUUUCUUCAUUCUUUUUGUUUAAAUGCAUUUUCACUGUCACUCUGCUCUGAAGCCAGGCAGACAAAGAUAAAAACAUUGCCAAUUGCAAAAUCCAGAUGUCAUGGAAACUUAAGUAGCCAUUUAAGUUGCUUUGUGAGAAACACACAUACAUUCAAAUCAACAUACUGAAAAUUAUUAUUCUCUUGUUCACCUAACUAAUGUGUUGAAGACAUUUAGAAGAAGAAAAAAAUUAUGCUUUCUACACACAUAGGCACAAUGUGAAAAAUUGGAGGAAUAGAAACAUACCAAAAAUAACAGAAAAUUAAUUUUAUUCUUUUGAGAAUAAACAAUUACAGAAAAUUCCAGGCUGCUCCUAAAAAACCACAGCUGACAUUCCUAUAGCAGUGUUAUGUAGUAGAUUACAUUUCCUAUUACCAGUCUGGCUAUAUUAUGGCAUUAUUAAUUUCUAUCUAUAGAUUGCAGAUAAUACAUUAUAAGAAGGAAAUCUAACAAAGGAGGUCAUGAUAUUUAGGAUUAUGUAGAGGAGGAAAGCACAGGUAAAGGUAGGAGGUGAAAGCAAAACCAAAUUGCAAAGCUGCUUUUUUUUGUUGCUGGGGUUUUCUUUUUGUUUGGUUUGGAGUUUUUUGGGCUUUUUUUUGUUUAAAAAUGGAACUCAGACAUUUUGUCCAAGUUCAGUACACAGAGAUUCCCCAUGAGAACUGUUGUUACUCCUCUGCCAGAAAUAUCAGAUAUGUCUCUGCAGCUCUUCUUCCUCCUCCCCGUCAGGCCCUGUGAUCUCUGAUUCAUCCUCCAGGGACAAAGAGCAGAGCCAGUCUUGGUAACUAGACUGCACCAGAGAAGAGACGCCAUGUCAGCAAUCCAUCGAGGAAAAACACCCUCAGCAGGAAACAGGAGACACCUCUACCCCAAAAUUGCUACAAGGUGCAUUACUUGGUUUCCAAGGUCUCAUCUGAAAAGAAAAACCGCACAAGGAAGCACUCUGCUCCAAACCUGCUCCUAGAACCACUGGAGAAGCUGUUCCCCAGCCCUCGGUGUGUGCUGGAUGCUCUGAGGUGGCUGGGAGGUGGCUGCAGUGAGAUAAAGCAUCCCUGAGGCUGAGAAAGCUGGAAGGGAAAACUGAGGAGCUCAGGAAAUAGGAAAUCCAUUCUAGAGCUGAAAUGGACCAUAAAGGAGAAACUGCCUUGCAUUAAAUCAGCUGCUGGUUUUCUGAAGAGGAAGAAGCAGCAGAGGGACUAAAGUACUGUUGUAAUAGUGGAGAUUUCUUUGAAAUCCAUCUGUUGCUGCUCAGGGGAAAAACCAGAAUGCUGCGUUCUCCAAGAGCAAAUCAAGUUGUUUUUCUGAGAGGGAGGGGGGGAAAAGGGGUGGCUGGAUUUCAAAGUUUUGUUCCUACUGAACAAAACGUGAGAUGGUUCUUGUGUCUCACCUACUCCUGCUGGCCAAAGGGCUUUGUUCCUCCAGGUGAUCAGCGCAGGACUGGAACUCAAAUAUUGCUUUCCAAAUGCCUGCAGCGACCACCACAUUUCCUGAAAAUACCAAUUACAACUCCCUAGCUAAAAUUAGAUAUAUGCUAAUUCGUCCUUUAAAAAUUAGCAACUCCAUGCAAAUUGAAAACAGAUGUCUGCGUCUUCAGUCAGUGCUGCUUGGUUUAGGCACUUAUUCUUCACACAACCUGCUUUGCCAUCUCCCCAGAGCCACAGCCUCCCUGAAGCACAGCUCCAGCACUGAUCACAGGGCAGCAGCCCCAGUGCCUUGCACACACCUCUUCUGUGCUAGACCCCUCUGUGGCUUCCCAGUGAUCAUUUCUGGCAUUUUAUUAUUGUUUUCUUUAGUGAGGUGCCAAACUCUGACAAUUUGCAAUUCUGGGCCUGAAGCCAAUCCUCUGAGCAUUUUGAAAUUUGCUUGUAACCAGUGUAAACCUCAGGCCACUACUGUGGACAGGUUACAGAUUCUCCCUCUUGGCUGGAAGCAGCUUUCAGUGGAUGUGUUGUUGGGGCAGAGCAUGCAUGUAAAUGGAGCUGCUGGCAGUGAGGAUGAGCACUGACACUGCUUGAAAAUGCUUGAUGGUGUGGGGUCAAUGAUGCAGGCAGAACCAACUUUUUCUCAUCUAUUUCAUCACUGAAAGUCCACGGCCCGCACACUUUUAAUUAUUUUUUAAAGUGCUGCAUUGGUUUUAAGUAACACAUUUGAAAUGGCUUUACAAAGAUCCUUGCUGGGCAGUGCCUGCAGUGCUGCUUGAUUACUGCCCAUAAUACCCCAGUGAAUCACAGCACCUGCAGAAAAAUGACAACAAUUCUCCUUUGUAGAGUGUCUGCUGCAAGGGGAAAAAAAUAAGCUUAGUGGAAAUAUAAAUAAUAGAUUCUAAUAGUCACAGCUGUUCAUAAAUAAGAUGAGAGCUACAAACACCGUCUAGGAACAGGCACAUUUCUCUCCAAGACUGACUUGCUGCAUGAUUUUGAAGGAAACACUUUGUCACUUUUUGGCUCUGUUUCCAAAUAUGAAAUAUAAACUGAUAUGAUUCUUACCACUCAAUGUAAACAAAAUGCUUUGAGAACAUGAAUACAAAUCAACGUAUAAAUGCUAAUAUAUUAUUUUUCUAGCUAAAUCCAUAUUCUGCAAAUGCAAACAGAGAAGAAAGAUAGAUUUUUGUUUUUUGCACAUUUGUGCCACUAGUGGAAGUUUUGCAAGCCAGAUUAGGUCCUUGGGGACAUAAGUGCAUUCCUCCUGCUCGCAGUGUGUUUGUACAGUUGCAAAGUGGCUUAAGCUACUAAGCAAUUCAGCUCAUGGGUGUACAAAAAAUAACAGCCGUCAUCUUGCCCUGUUAGAUGCAUGGCUUCUUCAGAGCCAGGCAAAGGGAAAAUUGCACCCAAAAUAUGAGAAAUCAGGAGAUAAAUGAUUCAUAAAACACAGAAGGAGUUUACAGCCUUACAGGGAUGGGGAGAGACCAGCUCUGCCUGGAGGAGCUAUUGGCUUCCACCAGCAGAACAUUUCUGCUAAUUCUGCUUGUUAAGAAAUUGUUCUCAAAAUAGCAAGAGGCUUCACUUAAUUAAAUGUUAGCAAGUCCCUGCAUAAUUUAUAUUUCAUUUUGGUCAAAAGUCAUCUGAGAACCCCAGAAUACUGUGGCAGGGCUGCGUGCUAAACUCUCCCUUCAUUUCCACAGCUGCAGCUCCACUGAGGUCUACAGAAUGCCUUGUGGAGAUUAGGUCUUGUUAAAUCCAUUUAACAUAGAAGAUGACACAUUGGAAAGCUGAAUACCUUGCCCAAGGUCAGUGACACAGCAGGGAACUGAAUUACCAGAAAAUGACAAGUUCUAUUUGCUUGCUGAACUCACUGGACUCAUUGAAAAUUUAAUUUCUGCUCUGCUGACUCACAGGUGGCCACAUAGGUGUGGCUGCAGUAUAAAAGGGUAUAAAAGUCUUUCUAGGGACGCUGCUGAAUCACAUCUUCUUGUCUGGGCUCAUUCUGUGUGGAAAUUCAAAAAGGAUUGCCAGGUCUGGCUGUGGAGAUAGCAGCUGUUUAAACUGAAAUAUGAUGCUGCUCCUGCUGCCAUGGAGCACUACUGUUUUGCUAUUAGUUAAUAAACAGAUAUUCUCCUUCUAAGGUUAACCACAAAAAAGUCUUUCAUUUAAUGAACAAUACUUUUCAAUAAGGAUAAAAAAACAAAGUUAGAGGUGUAUAUUUACACAUUAUACAGUAAAACAAAUAAUUUGAAGUUUUAAAUGCACUUUUUAAUUUUUUAAGUGUACAGCUUUUAAAAUAUUUUUAGAGUCUGUAUGGCUCAGGAGAAUAGUAACACCAUCUCUGUACUACUUCUUUUUUUUUUAUUUCCUAGUAUUCCCAUCCAGCCUGGGGUCAUUCUCCUGCCAAGAGUUAGGCAGCACAGGACUUGGCAUCAGCAUCUAAGACAUUUACACAUGCCUAUACCCAAUGACUAGUCCUAGCAAGGCUAGCAGGAAUUCUCAUAUUGUCAAAAUUUAAGCAUAUGUUAAACCUGUAAAAGAUCAGGAACUACAUCAGCACUGGUUACUGCUGGCUAAAUACAGGAAAAACAAAAUUAUUAGAUGUAAUCAGGCAAUUUAAAAACAACUUUGUGACAGAAAUCAGACUAUACUUCUGUAGUGCUGUAUCCCCUUAUAAAUAACUAUUCCUUCCAUAAAUGAGUGAAAUAUGUUGUUGACAAAGAAAGGCUCCAUUCACUCCCAUGCUGAUAAGAGGUGUGUAACUAAUAUUACACCAGUCACAUUAUUUUCUAUCCACCCUUCAACAACACUUGAGCUUUUUGUCAUGGCACUGACAUUAAAUGUUCAUAUUAAGAUGAACACCUUUAAGACCUAAAUUUUAUUUUUUCUUUAAAGAAAUCCUGUUGGCAAACACUUGAGAAGGCUUAUGGCAAUUUCUUCUUUGAAAUUUCUAUUCAAUCUUAUCAGCAUUUAGGAUAGAGAUUUUCUGCUAAAGGUUUAGAACAUGGGAUUGACAAUGUCUUGCUGAGGCUGAGCCCCUUUUUCCAGCAAGAUAGAUUUGACCAGCUUAGAAUGAAUCUGUGUCCCUUGGGGACCAUCUGUAAUUUUUACUUUUGGGUUUAUACCUUCCAAAAUGCAGUGCAGGGAAGCUGAUGAAGUCAGUAUUGAUGAGUUCUGUAUGGAUGAGGUCAAUAUUGCAACUUCUGCAAGAACACAAAAGCAUUUUGCUUGAUACCACAACUUUAGAGAGCAAUAAUGUCUCUGAAAAAGCCUGACUUGGGCCCCAAGAGGAGUCUGCACUAAAAGAGGUUGCCACACUUUCUCCUAGGCCUGCAGAAAGCAUCUGUUCAUCCUGCAGAGGAAGAGAGAAGUGAGUGACUCUUUUCAGGAUUGCAGAGCAGCAGCCUUUCCCACAUGAAUCUCACCUCACUUGAGAGUAAAAUGGCAUUUCCUACCAACUUGGUAAAGGUCAUUGUUUGCCAAGCUGCAUUCUUUUCAAAGAUGACCUAAACAUAAAAAAAAACCCCCACUUACUGAAAGGGUGAGCAUCACAGCAAAACCGAAAUAUGAACAUAUAGGUAAAGGGUUGGCAGUUGUAAUUUUUUUUUUAAUCUCUGUAGUUACUUAGCACUUUGGAGCAAAUGCAGCCAUGAGAACAGAACACCCCUUCACUAAAUGUCAGAGUAAACACUACUGAUCACCACAAAGGAAAGGCUUUAUACUAAUAAUACACUCAUAACAUUCAACACUAUCAGAUAAAACAAAAAUAUAAGAACUUUCUAUUUUUAUAUUUCAUGAAUCAGAAAGGUCACAAGCCCAAUUAAAAAAAAAAAAAACAAAAAAAACAACACAUGCCUUGCAGGGCUGAAGGGUAAAAUGCUGAAGAUGAGAUGUAGUUUAUGAAAACAUAUUGUACAGUGCAUGUCACAGGAAUGUGUUCUUA